rnacentral:lncRNA from 13 species
CACACAGAUACUUGGAGGGUGUUUGGUCUGGUCAGCCCUGCCUCAGCGCUGUUGAUGUGCUGUGCCCCAUUGACUUCGGGUGAGCGCCCAUCUGCUUCUCUCCACCUAGCCACAUCUCCUCUAUCCUUUAAGAUCUAGCAAAGCUUUGCCAGAUGAGGUCUCAUUCUGUCACCAAACUGGAGUGAAGUAGUGGGAUCUUCACUGCAAUUGCAGGCUCAAGCAAUCCUCUCACCUUAGCCUCCUGAGUAGCUGGGACCACGGGCACAUGUCACCAUGCCAAGCUACUUUUUGUAGUUUUUGGGAAGAGACAGGGCUUCACCAUGUUGUCCAGGCUGGUCCUGAACUCUUGAGGUCAAGUGAUCCUUUCACCUGGGGCUCCCAAAGUGCUGGGAUUAGAGAAAAACUGCUGGCACUAACAGAGUUGGUUCACGAGCAUAUUUGUCAAAAACAGCCUCUCAAAUCAAGAUCUUGCUCUCUAGUCUCGUCCUGUUGCCAGGCUGGAGUGCAGUGGCGCCAUCGCAACUCACUGCAACCUCCGCCUCCUGGGUUCAAGUGAUUCUCCUGCUUCAGCCUCCCAAGAAGCUGGGACUACAGGCACACUCCACCAUGCCCAGCCAAUUUUUGUAUUUUUAGUAGAGAUGGGGUUUCACCAUGUUGGUCAGUAUGGUGUCGAUCUCCUGACCUCAUGAUCCACCUGCCUCACCCUUACUGUUUAUAAUUUUAUAUUUUAUGAUAUAUGUAUCUGUAAACAAUAUAGUUUUGUGGAUUAAAAGAUAUAU